GACGAACGCUGGCGGCGUGCCUAAUACAUGCAAGUAGAACGCUGAAGAGAGGAGCUUACUCUUCUUGGAUGAGUUGCGAACGGGUGAGUAACGCGUAGGUAACCUGCCUUGUAGCGGGGGAUAACUAUUGGAAACGAUAGCUAAUACCGCAUAACAAUGGAUGACACAUGCCAUUUAUUUGAAAGGGGCAAUUGCUCCACUACAAGAUGGACCUGCGUUGUAUUAGCUAGUAGGUGAGGUAAUGGCUCACCUAGGCGACGAUACAUAGCCGACCUGAGAGGGUGAUCGGCCACACUGGGACUGAGACACGGCCCAGACUCCUACGGGAGGCAGCAGUAGGGAAUCUUCGGCAAUGGGGGCAACCCUGACCGAGCAACGCCGCGUGAGUGAAGAAGGUUUUCGGAUCGUAAAGCUCUGUUGUAAGUCAAGAACGGUGUGAGAGUGGAAAAUUCACACUGUGACGGUAGCUUACCAGAAAGGGACGGCUAACUACGUG
rnacentral:rRNA from 1 species